ensembl:misc_RNA Metazoa_SRP Metazoan signal recognition particle RNA
ACCAGGUGCGGUUGUGCACACCUGUAGCCCCAGCUACUUAGGAGGCUGUGGCAGGAGGAUCGCUUGAGUACAGGAGCUCUGGACUGUAGUGCACUAUGCUGAUCUGGUGUCUGGACCAAGUUUGGCAUCAGUAUGGUGACCUCUUGGGAGCAGGUCAAAACUCCUGUGCUGAUCAGUAGUGGGAUCACGCCUGUGAAUAGCCACUAUACUCUAGUCUGGGCAACAUGGCGAGACUCUUGUUUCC